rnacentral:rRNA from 1 species
UGGGGAAUAUUGCGCAAUGGGCGAAAGCCUGACGCAGCAACGCCGCGUGAGUGAAGAAGGCCUUCGGGUUGUAAAGCUCUGUCAGAAGGAAAGAAUCGGAUGGGUAACCCCCAUCCUUGACGGUACCUUCGAAGGAAGCACUGGCUAACUCCGUGCCAGCAGCCGCGGUAAUACGGAGAGUGCAAGCGUUGUUCGGAAUUAUUGGGCGUAAAGCGCGUGUAGGCGGCCCAUUAAGUCUGGCGUGAAAGCUCAGGGCUCAACCCUGAAAGUGCGCUGGAAACUGAUGGGCUUGAGUACUGGAGGGGGAAGUGGAAUUCUCGAGUGUAGAGGUGAAAUUCGUAGAUAUUCGGAAGAACAUCAGUGGCGAAGGCGACUUCCUGGACAGAUACUGACGCUGAGACGCGAAAGCGUGGGGAGCAAACAGG